GCUCAGUUGGUGGAACACGUGACUCUUGAUCUCAGGGUUGUGAGUUUGAGCCUCACAUUGAGCA
rnacentral:tRNA from 1 species